AGAGGAGAAAUGGGGAUGAUAAUGAUCGCUUUGAGGGGAUCGGCCUCCUUGAUCGCUUCGAGGGGAUCGGCCCUCCUUGAUCACUUCGAGGGGAUCGGCCCUCCUUGAUCACUUCGAGGGGAUCGGCCUCCUAGGGUUUGUCCAAAGACAGAAUAGUAUUUUUCAUAGAUUACUGAAAAGAAGCAGUUACAUCCCUAUUUAUAGAGUUCCACCCAAAGUCCAUCAGGACUUGAACUCUAAUAAUAAAUAAAUAUUAAAUAAAC
rnacentral:lncRNA from 1 species